rnacentral:rRNA from 1 species
CCCUACGGGGCGCAGCAGUGAGGAAUAUUGGUCAAUGGCCGCAGGGCUGAACCAGCCAAGUCGCGUGAGGGAUGACGGUCCUAUGGAUUGUAAACCUCUUUUGUCAGGGAGCAAAGGGCGCCACGUGUGGCGCUUUGCGAGUACCCGGAGAAAAAGCAUCGGCUAACUCCGUGCCAGCAGCCGCGGUAAUACGGAGGAUGCGAGCGUUAUCCGGAUUUAUUGGGUUUAAAGGGUGCGCAGGCGGCGAGUUAAGUCAGCGGUAAAAUUUCGGGGCUCAACCCCGACGAGCCGUUGAAACUGGCUUG